CAAACGUUUGUUUGACGAUUUGUACACAACACGUGCAGCAGGAUGAGUCAGUGGACGACGCAUCAGGGUCCGGUUACCACACGCCGCUCUGGCCCAGUCAGACCCGACAGCAUAGACUACAAAAGCAAAAGCUCAGAAUAAAGUAUGGCCUUGGUACAGCAAACAAAAAAGAAAUUGCAGCAUACCAAAUAUCAAGAAAGAGCUGAAAUGGACCAAAAGGACUCGCCUGACCCUCACCGUUUAUCAUUCAACGAGGGCACGACUUCCUGACUCUUCCUGACUGCUCAUGUAAAAUUUGGUACACUUUGCUUUUAAAUCAUACCGUUUUGUAUCUUUAUCAAUUUGUAGUUUAUUCACCUAUAAUUUAAUAAAAUAAAU